rnacentral:rRNA from 1 species
CCUACGGGAGGCAGCAGUGGGGAAUAUUGGGCAAUGGGCGCAAGCCUGACCCAGCAAUGCCGCGUGAAGGAAGAAGGCUUUCGGGUUGUAAACUUCUUUGACAGGGGAAGAGCAGAAGACGGUACCCUGAAAACAAGCCACGGCUAACUACGUGCCAGCAGCCGCGGUAAUACGGAGGUGGCAAGCGUUGUCCGGAUUUACUGGGUGUAAAGGGCGUGUAGCCGGGAAGGCAAGUCCGAUGUGAAAUCUGGAGGCUCAACCUCCAAAGUGCAUUUGAAACUGUUUUUCUUGAGUACUGGAGAGGCAGACGGAAUGCCUGGUGUAGCGGUGAAAUGCGUAGAUAUAAGGAGGAACACCAGUGGCGAAGGCGGUCUGCUGGACAGCAACUGACGGUGAGGCGCGAAAGCGUGGGGAGCAAACAGGAUUAGAUACUCUUGUAGUC